rnacentral:rRNA from 1 species
CCGUCUGACCGCUCUAGAGAUAGAGCUUCUCUUCGGAGCAGGGGACACAGGUGGUGCAUGGUUGUCGUCAGCUCGUGUCGUGGGAUGUUGGGUUAAGUCCCGCAACGAGCGCAACCCUAAUAUUAGUUGCCAGCAGGUAAAGCUGGGCCCUCUGAUGUGACUGCCGGUGACAAACCGGAGGAAGGUGGGGAUGACGUCAAAUCAUCAUGCCCCUUAUGACCUGGGCUACACACGUACUACAAUGGCCAGUACAACGGGAAGCGAAGUCGCGAGAUGGAGCGAAUCCCAGCAAAGCUGGUCUCAGUUCGGAUUGCAGGCUGCAACUCGCCUGCAUGAAGUCGGAAUUGCUAGUAAUCGCGGAUCAGCAUGCCGCGGUGAAUACGUUCCCGGGUCUUGUACACACCGCCCGUCACACCACGAGAGUUUACAACACCCGAAGCCGGUGGGGUAACCGCAAGGAGCCAGCCGUCGAAGGUGGGGUAGAUGAUUGGGGUGAAGUCGUAACAAGGUAAGCGUAGUGCU